rnacentral:rRNA from 1 species
UACGUAGGGGCCGAGCGUUGUCCGGAGUUAUUGGGCGUAAAGCGCGCGCAGGCGGCUUGGCGCGCCCGACGUGAAAGCCCCCGGCUUAACCGGGGAGGGUCGUCGGGUACGGCCAGGCUUGAGGGCGGGAGAGGGUGGUGGAAUUCCCGGUGCAGUGGUGAAAUGCGUAGAGAUCGGGAGGAACACCUGUGGCGAAGGCGGCCACCUGGGCCGACCCUGACGCUGAGGCGCGAAGGCGUGGGGAGCGAACGGG